CGAUGAAGAGUGCAGCCAACUGUGUGAAUUAAUGUGAACUGCAUACUGCUUUGAACAUCGACAUCUUGAACGCACAUUGCGGCCAUGGGCUAGCUCAUGGCCACGCCUGUCCGAGGGUCGGCU
rnacentral:rRNA from 1 species